GCUGGGGCUCAGUGGUAGAGCACUUGCCUAGCAUGUGUGAGGCACUGGGUUCAAUUCUCAGCACUGCA
rnacentral:tRNA from 1 species